GGUGGGGCUGAUGACUGGGGUGAAGUCGUAACAAGGUAGCCGUACCGGAAGGUGCGGCUGGAUCACCUCCUACCAGGGAGCCAACCAAAUGAUUAUGAUGAUUGGGAUUAAUUUUCAGUCCAUAAUCCUGUCACCUUAGGUCGAUCGGUACCUCAGGUUAAAAGCUUAUUAUUUUUGAUUUAUCAUUAGUUUAUAAGUGCUUAAUUUCAGUUCCUAAACUUGUCUAGGUCACACCCAACAAACUUUUUUCUGGGCUAUUAGCUCAGGUGGUUAGAGCGCACCCCUGAUAAGGGUGAGGUCCCUGGUUCAAGUCCAGGAUGGCCCAUUCGUUGUUGGGGGUACAGCUCAGUUGGUAGAGCGCCUGCUUUGCAAGCAGGAUGUCAGCGGUUCGAGUCCGCUUACCUCCACUGAUCAACUAUCUAAUAACUCUUUUAAUGAAGAUUGUUUUUGGUUUUGUGCUUUAGACGUUGUUCGCUGAAUGAACCUAGCUUCAUAUCACUCCUUAAAAUGAAAAAGUUUUUGAGGCUGAUAAGACGCUGGGCUCUCUGUAUUUCUGAAAAGAAUUACUCGAAAGUUCAGUAGAACCUUGACAACUGCAUAGGUAAGUCUGGAAAAAUAAAGCAUCUCAUAGAUGCAUAUAUUUAAUUAAUCAAGCUUAGACUUUUUUAAUUGAGUAAAUGUUUAAUUCUUAAGUAAAGAGCCGAGUCUAGACUUUUUCCUAAUUCUUAGAUUUAUCUGAUUUAGAUCAGAUUUAAAUAUGCAAUUAGGGAAUGUUUAGGAUAAUUAUUAUAUGGUCAAGCUACAA
rnacentral:misc_RNA from 1 species